CAAUCAAGUAAUUAAGGGCACUCAACGAAUGCCUUGGCCAUAAGAGGCGAUGAAGGACGUGACAGGCUGCGAUAAGCUGCGGUGAGGGGCCAAUACCCUUUGACCCGCGGAUUUCCGAAUGGGGAAACCCACUCGUAAGAGUAUCUGUAACUGAAUACAUAGGUUACAGAAGCAAACCCAGGGAACUGAAACAUCUCAGUACCUGGAGGAAAGGACAUCAACCGAGACUCCGUUAGUAGUGGCGAGCGAACGCGGACCAGGCCAGUGAUCAGAACGUAAGAAACAGAAGCUGUUGGAAACCAGCGCCAUAGUGGGUGAUAGCCCCGUAUGUGUAGAAAGCGAUUUGAUCCUCGAGUAAGGCGGGACACGAGCAAUCCUGUCUGAACAUGGGGGGACCACCCUCCAAGCCUAAGUACUCCUUAUGGACCGAUAGUGAACAAGUACUGUGAAGGAAAGGUGAAAAGAACCCCGAAAGGGGAGUGAAAUAGACCUGAAAUUGGGUGCUUACAAGCAGUCAUAGCGGACAUGAUCCGUGGUGGCGUACCUCUUGUAUAAUGGGUCAGCGACUUAAACUACGUAGCAAGCUUAAGCCGAUAGGUGUAGGCGUAGGGAAACCGAGUCUGAAUAGGGCGAUAAGUUACGUGGUUUAGACCCGAAAGCAGUGUGAUCUAGCCAUGGCCAGAUUGAAAGUGGGGUAACACCCACUGGAGGAUCGAACCGAUUACCGUUGCAAAGGUACCGGAUGAGCUGUGGUUAGGGGUGAAAGGCUAAUCAAACCUGCAAAUAGCUGGUUCUCCGCGAAAUAUAUUUAGGUAUAGGCUUCAGUGAAUACCAAUGGGGGUAGAGCACUGGAUAGGCUAGGGGAUCGCAAGAUCUACCAAACCUAACCAAACUCCGAAUACCAUUGAGUAAUACUGAGGACUCAGACAGUGGGAGCUAACUUUCAUUGUCGAGAGGGAUAAAAACCCAGACCACCGUCUAAGGUCCCCAAGUCAUAGUUAAGUGGGAAAGGAUGUGACACUACCAUGACAGCCAGGAGGUUGGCUUAGAAGCAGCCAUCCUUUAAAGAAAGCGUAAUAGCUCACUGGUCUAGAUAAGUUAUGUUGCGCCGAAAAUGUAACGGGGCUAAAACUAUGCACCGAAGACGUGGACUCGAAAGAGUGGUAGCGGAGCGUUCCCUAAAUCUGUGAAGGUCAAUCGCGAGAUUGGCUGGAGAUAUGGGAAGUGAGAAUGCUGACUUGAGUAACGAUAAACACCGUGAGAGACGGUGUCGCCGAAAGUUCAAGGUUUCCUGCGCAAGGUUAAUCCGCGCAGGGUAAGCCGGAGCCUAACCCGAGGCCGACAGGCGUAGGGGAUGGUAACACGGUUAAUAUUCCGUGGCCCGUGGGUGUGUGACGAAGGCUGUAAGCUGUUCUUCCUUAUCGGAUUGGUAAGGGCAGCGAAAGACUUCCAGGAAAUAGCCCCCACAUUGGUCCGUACCUCAAACCGACACAGGUGGACUGGUAGAGUAUACCAAGGCGCUUGAGAGAAUGGCUGUGAAGGAACUCGACAAAUUGCUCCCGUAACUUCGGAAGAAGGGAGACCCUAUUUCGGGCAACCGCGAUAGGGUGGCACAUGCCAGGGGGUAGCGACUGUUUAACAAAAACACAGGGCUCUGCUAAGACGAAAGUCGAUGUAUAGGGUCUGACGCCUGCCCGGUGCCGGAAGGUUAAAGUGAGGAGUUCACGCUCUGAUCUGAAGCCCCGGUAAACGGCGGCCGUAACUAUAACGGUCCUAAGGUAGCGAAAUUCCUUGUCGGGUAAGUUCCGACCUGCACGAAUGGCGUAACGACUUCCCCAUUGUCUCCACAGCCAACUCAGUGAAGUAGAAUUCUUCGUGAAGAUGCGAAGUAACCGUAGUUAGACGGAAAGACCCUAUGCACCUUUACUACACCUUUGCAUUGGUAUUAAGAACUGUUUGUGUAGCAUAGGCGGGAGACUUUGAAGUUCCGGCGCCAGCUGGGAUGGAGUCAAAAAGUGAAAUACCGCCCUGAUCGUUCUUGAUAUCUAACCACAUCCGCUGAAUCGCGGAUUGGGACCAUGCAUGGCGGGUAGUUUGACUGGGGCGGUCGCCUCCCAAAGAGUAACGGAGGCGCGCGAUGGUGGGCUCAGGCUGGUCGGAAAUCAGCUGAUGAGUGCAAUGGCAUAAGCCCGCCUGACUGCGAGACUGACAAGUCGAGCAGAGACGAAAGUCGGCCAUAGUGAUCCGGUGGUUCCACGUGUGGAGGGCCAUCGCUCAACGGAUAAAAGGUACGCUAGGGAUAACAGGCUUAUCUCCCCCAAGAGUCCCCAUCGACGGGGAGGUUUGGCACCUCGAUGUCGGCUCAUCGCAUCCUGGGGCUGUAGAAGGUCCCAAGGGUAUGGCUGUUCGCCAUUUAAAGCGGUACGUGAGCUGGGUUCAAAACGUCGUGAGACAGUUUGGUCCCUAUCUGCUAUGGUUGUUGGAAUAUUGAGAGGAGCUUUCUCUAGUACGAGAGGACCGAGAAGGACGUAUCUCUGGUGCACCAGUCGUCACGCCAGUGGCGCAGCUGGGUAGCUAUAUACGGAUAAGAUAACCGCUGAAAGCAUCUAAGCGGGAAACUUUCCUCAAAACUAGUAUUCCCCAUUAGGAUCGUGGUAGACCACCACGUUGAUAGGCCGGGUGUGUAAGGGCGGCAACGCCUUCAGCUAACCGGUACUAAUAGUCCGAUUGACUUGAUUGCUUGCAUGAU
rnacentral:rRNA from 1 species